UUAAUUUUGAGUUCAAAACAACAUAAAAUAAAAAUUAUUUACAAGAUUAGUUAAAGCCCGACUAUUGAAGAAAUUUUGUCUUUAUGCCGAUGAAGUAUACUUCUUCUCGCGAAAGAUAUGACCUGCAUAUAAAUAAGAAAGAAAAACUCACCAUAAAUUUCUUAAAAUUUAAAUUCUAGCAAGAAAAGUUAAAUUGAAAUGCAUCAAAUUGAAGUUCACAAGAAUUUCUAAUUGCUUGACAAGUUCACCUGAUUUUUUUAUUUUUUUUUAAAUCAAGCAAGUGAACCAAAAACAAAUUCAUAAAUGUCAUAAUAAGAAAGCUUCUCUCUUGUAACUAAGAAAACAUCAAAACACAAAUCCUCAUUUUAGUAGCAACAAAAUUUGCCGAAAGCUAAGUGGAGGGUUGAAAGGAAAACUGUGUCUAAGAUGCAUGGGUUUUAGGAAUUGACCUUUCACAUUAGAUUUGAAGAGUGCUUUCCCAACAGCUUGAAACCAAGGCAAAAAAUAUAGUCUUUGCUUACAUCAGCUUUUCUCUCCAUCCAACCUCCCAAAUAUUGCAGUCC
rnacentral:lncRNA from 1 species